rnacentral:rRNA from 1 species
UACAGAGGUCUCAAGCGUUGUUCGGAUUCAUUGGGCGUAAAGGGUGCGUAGGCGGCGCGGUAAGUCGGGUGUGAAAUCUCGGAGCUUAACUCCGAAACUGCAUUCGAUACUGCCGUGCUUGAGGACUGGAGAGGAGACUGGAAUUUACGGUGUAGCGGUGAAAUGCGCAGAUAUCAGGAGGAACACCGAUGGCGAAGGCAGGUCUCUGGGCCACUACUGACGCUGAGAAGCGAAAGCAUGGGGAGCGAACGGG